AUAGCUCAGGAUGAACGUUGGCUGUGUGCCUAAGGUAUGCAAGUCGAACGGUCCUUUGGAUUCUGAAACUUCGGUUGAUGAAUCCUUUUUGGAUAGUGGCAAACGGGUGAGUAAUACGUGGGUAAUCUGCCUUGAAGUCGGAAACAGCUCUCCGAAAGGAGGGGUAAUAUUCGAUGGCUCAAGUUUCUCGAAAGAGAUAUUUGAUAAAGCUUUUGCGCUUCAAGAGGAGCCUGCGUCCUAUCAGCUUGUUGGUGAGGUAAUGGCUCACCAAGGCUAAGACGGGUAGCUGGUGUGAGAGCACGGUCAGCCACCGCGGAACUGAGACACGGUCCGCACUCCUACGGGAGGCAGCAAUUAGGAAUCUUGCGCAAUGGGGGCAACCCUGACGCAGCGACACAGCGUGGAGGAUGAAGGUCUUCGGAUUGUAAACUCCUUUUAUAUGGGAAGAAUAGAUGACUGUACCAUAUGAAUAAGUACCUGCUAACUACGUGCCAGAAGCAUCGGUGAUGCGUAGGGUACGAACGUUAUCCGGAUUUACUGGGCGUAUAGAGAUGCGUAGGCGGUUUGAUAAGUCUUGAGUUAAAGACCUCGGCUCAACCGAGGGAGAGCUUUCGAAACUAUCAGACUUGAGACAUGGAGGGGUGAACGGAAUUCCGAGUGGAGUGGUGAAAUACGUUGAUAUUCGGAGGAACAUCAGUGGCGAAGGCGGUUCACUGGUCAUUGUCUGACGCUAAGGCUCGAAAGCGUGGGUAGCAAAACGGAUUAGAUACCCGUGUAGUCCACGCCGUAAACUAUGGAUGCUAGGUGUUUGGUACAACUACUUAAUUCUUCGGAAUUUAGUGGAAGUAUUGAGUGCCGCAGCUAACGCGUUAAGCAUCCCGCCUGGGAAGUACGGCCGCAAGGCUAAAACUCAAAUGAAUUGGCGGGGACCCG
rnacentral:rRNA from 1 species